GGAUUAGAUACCCUGGUAGUCCACGCCCUAAACGAUGUGUACUAGGUCGAGGAGGUUUUGACGCCAUCUCGGCCGAAGCCAAAGUGUUAAGUACACCGCCUGGGGAGUACGGUCGCAAGGCUAAAACUCAAAGGAAUUGACGGGGGCUCACACAAGCGGUGGAGCAUGUGGCUUAAUUCGAAGCAACGCGAAGAACCUUAUCCAGGGUUUGACAUCCACGGAUUAGGCUCCCGAAAGGGAGUUCGACGCUCUUUGAGUGGAACGUGGACAGGUGCUGCAUGGCUGUCGUCAGCUCGUGUCG
rnacentral:rRNA from 1 species